rnacentral:rRNA from 1 species
GGAGGGGGCAAGCGUUGUUCGGAUUUACUGGGCGUAAAGGGCUCGUAGGCGGCCAUUUAAGUCGGUUGUGAAAUCCCUCGGCUCAACCGAGGAACUGCGACCGAUACUGGGUGGCUUGAAGCCGGGAGAGGGAUGCGGAAUUCCAGGUGUAGCGGUGAAAUGCGUAGAUAUCUGGAGGAACACCCGUGGCGAAGGCGGCAUCCUGGACCGGUCUUGACGCUGAGGAGCGAAAGCUAGGGUAGCAAACGGGAUUAGAUACCCCGGGUAGUCCUAGCCCUAAACGAUGAAUGCUUGGUGUGGCGGGUAUCGAUCCCCUGCCGUGCCGUAGCUAACGCGUUAAGCAUUCCGCCUGGGGAGUACGGUCGCAAGGCUG